rnacentral:lncRNA from 1 species
CAGGCACGAGCCAUCGUGCCUGGCCUCAACUGUGGUUUUUCUGACAAUUAUUCACAACUAUGUUUCAAAACCUCCCUGCAUUUCUAGCCAACGGGUUGCUUUCGGAGGCCCUGGGGCUCUCCCGACACCCCCUCUGUGUGUCUGGCAAUGCGCAGGUGCACCUGAGGGUGUCAUCGGAUCUGAGGGCCACAAACAGCAUCAAAGGAGGGAGCCCCGUUGCCCCCGGUGGAGAAAAGCCACAGAGCAUGACUUUGUUCACUCCAUGUGUCCCCCGGCACUUCCCUGGGUUGGUGACUGUCUUCAGAACUGCAGCCUGCAGGCCUGUCUGGGGUCCCGUGGCAGGAGUGUGACCUGGCACACUCCAGGGGCCACCACCAACCUGGAUGGUGGUCAAAGAAGGCUGCCCGGAGGAGGAGGUGGAGCUUCAGCUGUUUUUUUCUGUCCAGAGGCGUUUUGAAAAAAACCAACCAACCCAAGUUUGGCAAGCCUGUUCAGGAACAGACCGCGACUCCAGCCACCUCUGAGACUUCUCCAUCUCAUCGCCUACCUCAAUGUGAGAGCCCACAUGAAGGUCAGCGUCAGCGACUUCACACUCCACUGGCACUCCUCGAGCACCCACAGCACGCCCAGCACAGAGUGACAGAAGCUCCCUUGGGACAGCCCUCAUGGGCGCCACUGCAGUGAUGCUGGGGCUGUCACCUGGCAGGAGAAAGUUCAGGGCUCUUUCUGGGAUGCCAUAUGGCCCCUUUUCCAGAAUCUACCUUUUCCACUGUACUUGUUUUCCAGAGACUGGCCUCCUGGUGCUGCUCCUGUCUUUGGGAUUUCUCCAAAAGCAGCUACUAAACCUCCAGCACCCCCAAGCUUUUUCCCUUUUUGGGAGGCGACUGGGUCUGAAUGGUUCUGCUAACUAGAGGGGCCGUUCUGCCUUGACCUGAGCAGUGGGGUAAGCUCAGCAGGAGGGAGCGGGAAGAGGGGCAGGACGGGACAAUGGAGAUUUGACUCAAGC